UUACAAUGGAGAGUUUGAUCCUGGCUCAGGAUGAACGCUAGCGGCAGGCCUAAUACAUGCAAGUCGAACGAGAUUGAGGAGCUUGCUCUUCAUGAAAGUGGCGCACGGGUGCGUAACGCGUAUGCAAUCUACCUUAAUCAGGGGGAUAGCCCGGAGAAAUCCG
rnacentral:rRNA from 1 species